UUGACUAACAUCAUUCUGAUUAGAAAAUUAAACUACAUAGGUUGUGAACUAUAUCUAAUUCUCUAGGCUCCAACAUGUCUAUCCUUCCUUUGCUUUACCAAAAACUUUAGGGCUCAUCAUUAAAGGUUCCUGCAACAGGCAUUGACUAGGUUUGAGUGAAAUAAUGCAAUGAAACUGUAGACAGAACCUAUUGACAGAUAGUAGGUUAUAUCUAUACUAGGAACAUGCAUAACAUUUUCCAGAAUGAAUUCUGGAGAUAUAGAAAUUCGGCCUGCAUGAGUGACUGUUAGCUUGAAGGAAUUAGGAAGAUUAAUAUGCAGUGGAUAGGGUAAAGGAUUUAGAGAUAGGAAAGUAUUCGAGUCAAAGCACAUGUGUUCUGAAGCCACUGAAUCAACAAUCCAAGUACUAGAUUUAAAAAUUGAAAAGAAUGAACUAGUAUAUUUAAGGGAAAUUACAUAAGUUGCCACCCUAUCUAUGGCCCAAAUCCCGCUUACACACUUUCUAUGGACCGUAAUAACCUUACACAUGCAACCUUUCUAAAGUGUGCCUAGUACACAUCUCAUUUGACCAAGUCUAAGCGUGUGUAAUAAAAAUUGGACCAAGCGUGUGGACGGUAUUUCAAGUCAAUUUUUAUAUUUAAUAAAUGGUCAAAAACACAUUCCAAAGGCCCUUUUUAAAAGAUUAAAAGGACCUUAACCCAUUUCUAUGUAUACUAGACCAGAUUUUCAUCUUCUUCCUCGUCCUUAAAGCUCUAAAUUGAGGAAAAUUUAUAUUCUUGAAGCCAAAAUGUAUUCCUCUUUUUGAAGCUCGAAGCCAAUAUUACAAUCUUCUUCUAUUUCUUCCUUCUCUUUUUUGACAUAAGGUCUAAAUUUCUAGGGUUUGGGAAAAUACAUAAGUUGAGAAACUUUUGCUACUGUGGUGAAGAAGCUGUAGAGAACAAAAUUACUAACUUAUUAACCGCAUAAAUCCAUAGAAAAUUCACGAUGAAAGCAUAGAUUGAGAUGGUCGCCGGAAUUGCAUAUAGAUUGAGAUGGUCGCCGGAAUUGCAUUUACAGUCGCUCCUUCUAGGUGUAUCGGAUUUUGAAUAGGUGUGUAGUGACUUGGGUAAUUUUUUUAAACCCCUUUUACCUUGUGGGUUGGAUAGGGUCGGGUUAUUUAUAUAAGGUAAUGGGUUAAAAUUAGGUAGAGUGAAACGUGUGACAUAUACAUAUGUCUUAUUAACAGAAUAUGGUCAAAGAAGAUGUGUACUAAGAACAUUUUAGAAAGGUUGCGUGUGUAAGGUUAUUACAGUCCAUAUAACGUGUGUAAGGGGGAUUUGGGGCAAAGGUUGGGUGGUAAACUAUGUAUUACCACAACAUUUGUAUUGAUCGCUGGAUUAGAAGUUCCUGCAUCCCCAAUCUUAACCUGCUUGCACUAACUAUGAGAAUUGAUCUUUGGAGAGGUUCUGAGACAAAGGCUCACUGCAAUUGUUAUUGUGUUCUUCUGUUGUUUCAGCUGAAAAUUCCCAUUUCCCUUAACUUGAAACUUGCUUCCUUUGGUAUUGGUAAACUCAAAAUUCUCAGGGAACCAUGUGAUUCUAUAAUAGUCAUUGACUGUGUGUCCUAUCUUCUUGCAAUGGGUACACGAUGCAUUGGGAUUAAAUUUGGUUUUCUUUCCCUUGUAGGUUGGAUUCUUCGGUGUUAGAUUUGUAGGCUUUUGUAUAAAACUCUUCUGGAAUUGUCCAAAAUUUCUUUGUGUCUGUUUUCCAUUUACUUGUGGAUAGUUACUGUUGGCCCAAGUUCAGUUGAAGUUUUGAAAAUUGACAAAUAACCUCAGUGAUGGACCUGGUCCAUCUUAGAAGACGUAGUUGUUAUGGCCCAUACACAUGAGAUGCCUGUGAAGAAGAUAAAUCCUUGGGGAUCAAGCAACAAUAUUUUAUGAAUAUCUUCUUAACUGAUUGAAAAGAUUGCAUAUGGGAUAAGGAGAAGAUGUUUCCUUAUGAGAAGAGAACACAUCCGGAUAAGGGUUGGAGUUUUGAUUGGUCUAGGACUCAAACUCAAUGGAGGAUUAGAAAUUAAGUCACAAUCUAACUCUAAUUACUAAUCUAUUAAAUUGAGUUGUUCUCUUUUACAGGUGUUGCACAUACACAGAAGUAAAACAUAAUUGAGAGCAAAAGAGCAAGUCUAUUUUGCAAGCAAUAUAUGUGAGAUAUAAGUGUGCACGCCUGAAGCUACUUGAACGAGAUAGAAGAACCAGUUUCAUUGUAUUUAUUCUGAUUCUAGUUCAAUUGUAGUAGGUGUUUCAUAUUGUACCUUUCACCUUAUUUAGAAGCGAUUGUAUUAGGUACUUUGACUAUUCAAGCUAGAGUUAACUUGAAAGUUUCAUAAAAGUUGAGGUUGUGUGUCACACUAGGAUUAGAGUUAAUCCUUAGGUUUAUAAGGGUAUUGUAAAUAUUGUUUUGGCUUAGUGAUUUUAGUGAAAGUUUGGGAAAAUCCUAUUGAGUAGUAGGUCAUGGUUUUUUCACCUUUUGAGCCAGGUGUUUUUCAUGUAAAAAUCUCUGUGCACUUUACUUUAUGUAUUUAUUAUUUCACAAACUGCAGUAGUUAGAACACUUAGAAGAACCAGAAUCUUCUAAAGUGAAAAUUGGGUACCACACAAAUCACCCUCCCCCCUUGUGUGGUAUCGAUAUUUAUAACUUCAAUUGGUAUCAGAGCGGGUUAUCCUUGAAGAGGUUAACACCUUAGGAAAGAUCAAUAUGAGUGCACCACCUGGUAACUAGGAAGGACAAUCCAUUGCAAGACCUCCACUUUUCAAUGGUCUCUACUACUCCCCGUGCAAGAAUAGAAUGAUAGAACACAUAAUGGGAGAAGACUAUGAGCUUUGGGACAUCAUCACUGGUGGUCCUUUAGCCACAAUAAAGAAGAGUGCUGAAGGGUUGGAUGUUCCAAAGACAAGAGCUGAUUGCACUUCUGAAGAAAACGAAGUGGGAAAAGAAUGCUAAGGCCAAGAAGUGGCUAGUAUAUGGACUUGGUCCAGAUGAGUACAGCAGGAUCGAAAGUUGUAAUACUCCCAAGAAAAUUUGGGACAUAUUACAAGUGGCCCAUGAAGAACACCUUAAGUGAAGAGGUCAAGCGGAACACUGCUGUGUUCUUAAUAAGAGAAUUUCACUAUGAAGAAUGGAGAAAACAUCCAAGAGAUGUAUACUAGGUUCACUACACUGACAAAUGAACUUGAGUCUCCUGGAAGGAUUAUCCUGGAAGAAAAGGUCGAGAAGAUCUUAACUAGAGUUCUGCCAAUUGCCUGGGAAAGCAAAAUCACAGUUAUUCGGGAAUCCAAGAAUACUGCUCCUAAAAUUAGAUGAACAGGUUGGAAAUCUUAUUAUCUGUGAAUUGAGAAUGCAAACUAUAAAGAUGGAUGCUCCAAAGAAAGAAAGAUGUUCGGCUCUCAGAAUCUCAGAUGAUCAGAUCAUAAAGAUGAUGAAAUGGCUAUGAUAACCAGAGAUUUCAAAAAGUAUCUUAUAAGAGGAAAUGUUCCUUCAAGAGGAACAACCUCCAAAAAACCCCGGGCUCCUGAGAAGCAGACAAAUGAUGGUUGCUAUAAGUGAGGUAAGACAGAUCACAUGAUCAAGAAUUGUCCUCAAUGGGAGAUAUAGUGGAAGAAAAAAAAAGUUAAAUGAAGAAACAUGAAGAAGGAAAAGGUCCAACCAAGAAGGAACAAAGGUUCAACUAAAGCCAUGGUUGCUACAUGGAAAGAAAACUCAGAUGAGGACUCAGAAGAUGAAGCUAAAAAUGAGAAAGCUCUUAUGGCGAUCGGAGAAUCAAAGGAUGAACAAGAGGUAAGUGUCCUACAUCUUAAAGAAAAGAUUAAAUUUUUGUCUAAAGAAAGGUUGGCUAAGUUAUUAUUGGACUUCAUUGAUGAGUCUAAAAUAAUAAACAGUGAGAAGGAUGUUCAAUCUAUGUAAUGUGUUAUCCUAGAAGCAAAAUAUAAAAGGUUAGAGUCUAGGGCUGAUGAGAGUGACAACACAGAUGCUGAGUUGAAGAACCAGGUUCUUCAACUUGAAAAUAAUGUCCUAGAACUUAGAUCUGAAAAUAUUAAGCUGAAAUUAGGGAUAGGAAAGAUAAUGGCUGAUCAAUUAUUUCUCACACUAGAAGAAAAUGUAGGAAACAUGAAAGAUGAACUAUAUAAGAAAAAUGAAUUGAUUAAGGUCCUAAAGGAAGAUUUAGGAAAGGUAAAGCAUGAACUAGACAAAACAUACAAAUGGAACAAGGCUUCUGAUGCUCUCUCCUGGUUGCAAGAAUAUCACAACAGCAAUAAGAGAGUACUUGGAGUAGUUACACAAGCUCCAAAAUGAGAUCCCAAAAAACAAGUACCUCACGCUUCCUAAAAAUAAGAUUUGCACACACUAUGGUAAGACUGGCCAUUACAAAAAUGAAUGCAAUGCAAAAGAAAAGGCCUGUCAAAAGAACAAAGCCUUUAUUCAAUAAAAACACAAACUUCCUGGUUAGGUAAAGAAAAAUUUAAUUCUUCCUUUUGCCCAUAUAAAGAGACCCAAACUAGUUUGGGUUCCUAAGACAAACCCAUGAUUUUAUUUUGCAGGUCGAAGAGAAGGGGAGUAGCAAAAUAUGGUACAUGAUAGUGACUAGUCAAAACAUAUGACUGAAAACAAGGACCAAUUCCUUUCACUCGGGAAUAUAAAAGGAGGGAAAGAGAGUUAACAAUAUUUACAUUGUAGAUUUGUCAACUCUCUCUCUUAAAAUGAACUCACUUGCUUAAGUGUGUUAAUUAAGGAUCCCCUCAUUUGGCAUAAAAGACUUGGUCAUGACAGUCUAAAUCAAUUGAACAAAUUAGUCUCCAAAGAUUUGGUGAUAGGGUUACCUAAUAUCAAGUUUAAGGAAGAUAAAGUUUGUGAGGCAUGUGCAAAGGGGAAGCAGGUAAGGUCAUCCUUCAAACACAAGAAAAUGGUAAGUACGUCCAAGACGUUGGAACUAGUUCAUAUGGAUCUCUAGGGUCCAAUGAGAACCAUGAGCAGAGGUGGAAAAAAGAUAUGUAAUGGUGCUUAUAAUGAUUAUUCUAGAUUUACCUGGGUGUUGUUUCUAACCUCUAAAGAUGAAGCAUUCGAGAUGUUCACCACUUUUGUUAGAAAAACCGAGAAACAAUUAGGAAAUCAACUUGCAUCCAUUAGGUGUGAUCAUGGAACUGAAUUUGAAAAUGCAAAGUUUGCUGAAUUCUGUGAUGAAAAUGGUAUAGACCAUAAUUUCUAUGCCCCUAGGACUCAACAAAAUGGAGUAGUUGAAAGGAAGAAUAUGACUCUUGAGGACAUGGCUUGAACCAUGCCGCUUUCUAGUAAAUUGCCCCACAGCUUCUGGGCAGAGGCUGUAAACACUGCAUGUUACAUAAUCAAUAGAUGCAUGACUAGACCUCUUGAGUAAAUUUUGUGAUGAAAAUGAAAUAGAUCAUAAUUUCUAUGCUCCUAGGUGACCUCAACAAAAUGGGGUAGUUGAAAGGAAGAAUAGGACCCUUGAUGAUAUGGCAAGGACCAUGCUUUUUUCCAGUAAUCUACCUCACAGCUUCUGGGCAGAUGCUAUAAACACUACAUGCUACAUAAUUAAUAAAUGCAUGACUAGACCUCUUGUAGAGAAAACUCCCUAUGAGUUACUUAUAGGGAGAAAACAAACAUAUCCCAUCUUAGAGCUUUUGGUUGCAAGUGUUAUGUGCACAAUAAUGGCAAAGUCUCCCUAGGUAUGUUUGAUCCCAGAAGUGAUUAUGGAGUAUUAUUGGGAUAUUCUUCACAUAGCAAAGCAUUUAAAGUUUUAAAUAAAAGAACUAUGUAUGUAGAAGAAAGUGUACAUGUUGUAUUUGAUGAAUCUAACAUUCUUUCUGAGAGACGGAAACAUGAAGAUGAAGCCAUUGGACUGGUGAAACAAUUGAUUGAAGCCACAACACAAGUCAAAAUGGCAUCAAAGGAAGGAACAGGUGAUGGAACAUGUCCUUCCACUCAGGGCAACCUGACAAGGGGAACUAAUCUGAGAGAAAUUGAACAAAACUCUCUGAAGGAACCUAUACCUGAACAUGUUCCUCAGCAACAGAACAAUAAAGAAGCAUCUAACAGGAACCAGCUGGUGGGAAAUCUUACAAGUCCCAGAGUUCUCAUCCCGUUGAGAACAUCAUCAAUGAUCCAAUAUCUGGAGUCAAAACUAGGUCUCAACUGGAGAAUCUGUGUGCAUUUGAUGCCUUUCUAUCCAUCAUUGAACCCAAAAAUAUUGUUAAGGCUUUGCAGGAUGCAGAUUGGGUCAAUGCUAUGCAGGAUGAACUAUAUCAAUUUGAGAGAAGUCAAGUCUGGCAAUUGGUUCCAAGACCCAAUGAUAGACAAGUCAUUGGGACAAAAUGAGUCUUCAGGAAUAAACUAGAUGAAGAUGGAAUAGAUAUAAAAAACAAGGCAAGACUGGUGGUUCAAGGCUACGGUCAAGAGGAAGGUAUUGAAUAUGAUGAGACUUUUUCUCGAGUUUCUAGACUUGAAACAAUUAGACUCCUCACAGUCUUUGCAGCACAUAUAGAAUUUACUCUUCAUCAGAUGCAUGUCAAAAGUGACUUCCUAAAUUGCUACCUCAAGGAAGAAGUAUUUGUGAAACAACCUCCAGGAUUUGAAAGCAAGGAGUGUCCUGAACAUGUAUACAAGCUAGAUAAAGCUCUAUAUAGCCUCAAGCAGGCCCCAAGUGCUUGGUAUGAAAUAUUGUCAAAAUUCCUAUUGGAGCAUGGUACAAAAUAGGUAAAAUUGACAACACUUUGUUCCUAAGGGAAAAAGGUAAAGAUCUUCUUGUUGUACAAAUAUAUAUUGACGACAUAAUAUUUUGGGCCACUACAGAUAGGUUGAGUUUGAAAUGAGUAUGAUGGGUGAAAUCAACUUCUUCUUAGGAUUGCAGAUCAAACAAAGUCCAAAUGGAACUAUGAUCUUUUCCAUCAACAUAUGUAUAUGAAAGAAUUAAUCAAAAAGUUUAAAAUGGAAGAAUCUAAAGAAAUAGAUACUCCUAUUGCUACUGCCACUAAGCUAGAUAUUGAUAACCUAGUUCAUCAAUUGAUCAGAAGCUGUAUAGGGGUAUGAUUGGUUCACUUUUGUAUCUUAUUACCAGCAGACAUGACAUUGUUUUCAGUGUAGGACUUUGUGCUCGUUCCCAAGAAAAUCCAAAGGAGUCACACUUGACAGCUGUCAAAAGGAUAUUGAGAUAUUUGAAAGGCACCACUGGUUUGUGUCUUUGGUAUCCCAAAGGUAGUAAUUUUUACUUAAUUGGAUACGCUGAUGCUGAUUAUAUAGGUUUCUUAGUGGAUAGGAAGAGCACCUCGGGUAUGGCACACUUCCUAGGUUCUUGUCUUGUAUCAUGGGCUACCAAAAAGCAGAAUUCAGUAGCUCUAUCUACUGCUGAAGCUGAAUAUGUUGCUGCUGCUUCAUGUUGUGCUCAAUUGCUGUAGAUUAAUCAAUAAUUGGUAGAUUUUGGGUUCAUCAUAAAAGGACUAAGCACAUAGAUAUUAGACACCACUUCUUAAGAGAUAACUAUGAUAAAAGGGUUAAUUUCCAUAGAAUUUUGUGCUGCUGAAAAGCAAAUAGCUGAUAUCUUCACUAAGACACUAAGUAGAGAAAACUUUGAAAGGAACAUGUUAGAAUUAGGGAUGAUUAAGAUCACAUAAAAGGUCCAGUUUAGAUUGCACAAUGAAUAAAAAAGGAAUGAAAAAUGAAAAAAAAAUGGUUAGGAGUUCUUAAUUCAUGCAAAUAUCUAGACUAAUUCUUACUCAGUCCCAUACUUUAACUAGUCUACUCAUGUGACGUGUUUAUAUGACUCAUUAAUCUCUUACAAAGUUUUCUAUUUUGACAUUUGAGGCAUAAUCAAGAGAAGUUCUACUUGAAGAACAUGGUUCAUCAAUAUAUGCUAAUAAGAAAGUUCAGGUACUAUCUAUUCUUUGCACAAUUAGAAAGAUAAAUUUAUCAAUCAUGAGUAGAAGUCCAUGUUACACUAAACGUCCAGAAAAUUUUAUCCGUUGAGCAUUUGAACCAGUUUCAUUAACCUAGGAGUCUAUCUAUAACGGGUGUCCUCCCUUAAAACUAGUAAUUCCAUUAAUCACUUAGGAGAACAGAAUUCUAACUUGAUUAGACUCCUAAUUGACCUCUAAAAAGGAUAUCGUUACUUCCCUAAUCAUGUCUUUAAAAACCCACCAAAUCACACAUAACCGUCAUCAAAUUCCCAAAUUUCUGAUCACUUGCUUUCUUCUUCAAAAAUUCCCAAACUUUUCCAGAAAUUCUCCGCCAUGACUAGUCCCUAAGAUAAUCCUGGAACUCCACCACCAGUUUCCCCCAACACCUCAUCAUCAACUCCUCCUAGUGAACCCCCAAAAUAUGAAUUUCGUCGCCAGAAAAUGUUAGCUAGAAAAAUAGUUGCAUCUGGUCCUUUGAGGAAAGUCUUGAACAAAAAAGUAUAGGCUAGUCUAAGAAAGGAAGUUACAACCAAAGAAAACGAUGCAAGCUCUGAAUCAGAGAAAUUUAUCUCUGCCAGUCAAGAAAAAAUUGCAGGCCAAUCAAAGAAAAUAAUUUACAACCAAAGAAAGCGACUCAAGCUCUGAAUCAGAGAAGUUUAUUUCUGCAAGUGAAUGAGAAGAACCUGGGUCUUCUAAAAAUGACAAGAGUUAAGAAACCCUAGGAUAGGUAAAUGUUUGUUUAUUGUUUUCCGAUAAAUAGAAGAAAGGGAGGAUAAUAGGUUUUUUCUAGUAGGGUCUGUCAAAAAUGUAAAGGGGAUGAAUCUAGUAAAAAGAGAAAGAAAAAGAAGGGGAAGUUUUAGCUAUCUGUGAUAGUCGAGAAGAGGGGGGCAUUAACUCAACGGGAAGUGGGUCAGGUGAAGCUGCUGAGGGAUUGGUUAAUUUGAGUGAACAACCAGAUGAACUUGCUUCAUUUGUGGAGGAGGCUUUGGCAGAUAUGCUUAAGAAAGUUGGCGCCAGUUAUGAUCCCAAAAAAUGCAAGGCCUCCUCACAAAGGACCCCUGUUGCAUCCAAACUAACAAAGAAGAGCAAAGUUUCAUCACCUAAGUCUGCUGCACCUAGGGGUAGAGCUACAAGAAGUAGGGUGAGGCACAAGAAUGGAAGGACAUGAUCCUUCAGAUGGAUGGGAUAUUGGCAAGAAAAGAACUUGUUGAGUUCAUGGCUAAUGGAACUGUGAAGAAUGGGUUGGUAACCAGUAUAGUGAAGGUGGUGAAGGUGAAAUUUGAUGCGCCUAAGUUGGGCAGAAUCUUGAACAUUCCACGUGGGGGCUAUGAUGGCUACCCAAGGCAAAGGUGGCCUUGUCUGGAUGGUCUGUCUUCUGAAUUUCAAAUCACUAGGAAUUUCUGUGAUACUGCAGAUGUUGAGGAGGUGCCUGAAGCAAGGGCUAUUUAAAAUAUUGAGAUGAGGCAAGAGCAUAAAGUGCUCUUUGAAUUUAUGAACAAAUGCCAGCUGCCUAGACAUGAUGGAGGUAUACAGUAAACUACAUGGACUUGGUCCUCAUGCAGUUCUUGGUGGAAGGAAAGUAGAUUAAGUAGCCUGCUUUCAUUGUAAAGCUGCUAAACAGGGAGCUCAAUGGUUCAAAAGCUCAUGCCAUCCCUUAUGGGUUUAUUCUGACUGUUGCGCUGGACAAGCCGAAUGUUCCCUUGAAGAAAUGGGAAAUGGCUUCCAGCAAAGAGCACUUUAGUAUCAAAACUCUCCAAGCCUGUGAUUAUCUCCUAAGUGUAGGCCCUGUUAAACCUGGCUCAUCAGCGAAGACUCCAGUAAAUAGCAAGGUCAGAGCCUUGGUUUAGGAGGUAGGGACAAAGGAUGUUGAAAUUGCAAGGCUUCAAGUUAGAGUAGUUGAACUGGAAGAAGAGAGGAAUGGGUUGAGAGCUGAACUUGCAAAGGAUAGAAAAGAGGGAAGAGAUGCUCCAAACUAUGCUGAAUGUGCUACAAACCCAACCCUCCAGCUCUUCAAUGCCUUAGGUUUCCUUGUCCUAUUUUGGACCAGUCUAGAUUCGGGACUUUCUUUUGUUUUUGCUCAUGGUUGGUAGUUUUUGUUCUUUCUUAUCGUGGACUGUUAUGUAGAAUCAAUCCUAUCAAUGACAAUGUGCACUUCUCUUGAUUUAUGUUAAUUCUAAUCUUUAUCUUUAUUUUUGCCAUGUUGAUUUUUGAUUAACUAAAACAUGCAUUCACUUGCAGUUGCCCUAGUGUCCAUGAGUAUUAAUAUUCUGGGAUUCACAUUAUUUAUGCAGCUUUUUGAUGAUGCCAAAAUGGGGAAGAUAUUGUGCUUAAAUUCUAUUAUCUGAACAGUGAUGUUUGUGACCUAAUUAAAUCUGGCCCUUAAUGAUACGUCAAAAUUUUAACUGUUGAUAUUCGCUGAGUUCGCAGGUUGUCUGAUUAGUAAAAGCACAGAGUUUGUCAUCAUCAAAAAGGGGGUUGUUGGCCCAAGUUCAGUUGAAGUUUUGAAGAUUGACAAAUGAACUCAGUGAUGGACCUGGUCCAUAUUAGAAGACACAGUUGUUAUGGCCCAUACACAUGAGAUGCACGUGAAGAAUAUAAAUCCUUGGGUAUCAAGAAGCAAUAUCUUAUGAAUAUCUUCUUAACAGAUCGAAAAGAUUGCAUAUGGGAUAAGGAGAACACAUCCGUAUAAGGGUUGGAUUUUGGAUUGGUCUAGGACUCAAACUCAAUGGAGGAUCAGAAAUUGAGUCACAAUCCAACUCUAAUUACUAAUCUAUUAAAUAACUGAGUUGUUCUCUUUUACAGGUAUUGCACAUACGCAGAAGUAAAACAUAAUUAAGAGCUAAAGAGAAUGUAUGUUUUGCAAGCAAUAAUGUGAGAUAUAAGUGUGCACGCCUGAAGCUACUUGAACGAGAUAGAAGAACCAGUUCCAUUGUGUUUAUUCUCAUUCUAGUUCAACUGUAGUAGGUGUUUCAUAUUGUACCUUUCAGCUUAUUUUGAAGCAAUUGUAUUAGAUAAUUUGAGUAUUCAAGUUAGAAUUGACUUAAAAGUGUUGCAACAGUUGAGGCUGUGUGCCACAUUGGGAUUAGAGUUAAUCCUUAGGUUUACAAGAGUAUUGUAAAUGCUGUUUUGGCUCAGUGAUUUUGGUGAAAGUUUGGGAAAAUUCUACUGAGUAGUAGGUCGUAGUUUUUUCACCUUUUGAGCCAGGUGUUUUUAACGUAAAAAUAUCUGUUCACUUCACUUAUGGUAUUUAUUAUUCCACAAACUGCAGUACACUUAGAAGAACCAGGUUCUUCUGAACCGAAAAUUGGGUACCACACAAGUCAUCCCCCUUUUUGUGUGGUAUUGACGUUUAUAACUUCAGUUACUUUGAGCCACAAAGUUGCCUUGAUUUACCACCAUGAAAGAUGAUUAAUAAGUCGAUAUUAAAGGAUAUGCAUAGAUUCCUCUCUAGUUUUCAUCUUGUAGAACCAAGGAAUAAGCAUGAUUGAUGUUGGGUAAAGGGUGCAUCAUUAAAAUAUUUUCCCUAACUUGUCUAUAACAAUUAUUCAAUAUCAUAAGGAACUAAAUGAGUCUUUGAUCCUCUAAGGGCUUCUGUAUCUUUUCCUUCCCCUCACAGACAUAAGUUCAUAGACACUUGACAUCACAAUUUAGAGAGUGUAGCUCAUCCCAUAAAUGUUUGAGUAUCCUUCUAUGUUAGUUGUUCCUAGAACUAACCCUAAUAAUUCUUUGCACAUGUGAUAGAAUUUGGCACCAUUUGACGGUCUAAACCUAUGUUUAAGGUUGUUCCAUAGAUCCUUGGCAGAUUUUGAGUAGAUAACAGUGUACCCAAUGUCUUUGGAGAGAGAGUGUAGAAGCCAAGAGGUCAUCAUGUCAUUACAUCUGCUCCAAGGUUGAAAAUCCUUUGAAGUAGCAGAUGGAGCCGGACAUGUUCCAUUGAUGAAGUCUAACUUAUUCUUGGCUGAAAGUGAAAUUAGCACAGAUCUCCUCCAUCCCUGGAAACCUCUACCAGUGAAUAUUGCGUUCAUCAAGGUCAUUCCAGGUGCAUCAGAAGAAUGGAGAAAAUAGGGAUGAUUUGGAUCGAAGGUUACUCCAUUUCCAGAUCCAGUUUAGGCAACAAUAGUCUGAGUGUUAUCAGGCAUGAUUAUAAAGAUGAAGAGAAAGUAAAAUAAGAUAGAACAAAAUGAGAAAUAGAUAGAGCUUCACUGCUCUGAUACCAUGAAAGAUUGUAAAAUGAAGAAGAUUAUUUUAUAAAUUUUCUCUCUAUGUAUUCCAUUGUGUAAUCAUCAAUCGAUAUAUACAAAUUAUUCUAUCUAGAAAGAAUAAAAUGACUGUACACUUGUCUAAAUUCUAUAUGCUAUGAGAAUAACUAACUAACCACUAUUAUUUUUUACAAUGCUUAUUGACACAUGUCACCAUGUGAGAAUAAUCAUAUGGUUUACUAAAAAACUAAAAGUGCUCUAAUAUGGAUGGUGAGGAUUUAAUCCAUCAUGUGCCAUGGAAUUUGCUGAGGAAGUUCCAUAUAAAAAUCCUAAGCUUGUAAAUAAGUCCUUCUCAUUUCAAGAUAAGUUCAAAAGCUUAUGUUUUGUCUGAAAACCUUUGUCCUCUCCUUCUUUAACUGAACGUUCCUUUUCCCUUGUAUUUCUGAUCAAUUGAGUGAAAAUUAGAGGAACUAGAGGGUUUCUUCGCAACAUAAUUGUUGGGAUUUUCAAGCAUUAAUGAGUCUUAAAAGAGGAUGAAUGAGAAUUGGAGGGAAAUGAAACUUUAAGGGAAAUUUUAAGUUUUCCCCCUGGCAAAGGGACAUUAUCCCAUAUUGGAACAGGAAGAGAUUUUUUAUGGGUAUAUAAAAAUUGCUCUUCUUCUAGAUCUUAAAGAGUUAAGAAGAAGGCAAGCCUCAUGCCGCCGCCGUCGUCGCUCGGCUCGGCUUCGGAUUUGGAUUUGGAUUUGGUCAAACAAUCGGUUGAUUGAAUGAUUGAUUGAUUUUUUGGACCAAACUAUUUGUUAAUAGUAAAAUAUUAACAGAAAUGAUAUUAAUAUAUUUUUUUAUUAAAAAAAUAUUAAUAUUAAUAUUAAAUUCAAUCCAUUUUUCAAUCCCAAAACUACCCUCUUCAAUUUUUCCUCUUUAUUGUUGAGUAAAUAGUCUUUUAUGUUAUAGCAUUUAUGUUGUGGUCGUUUUGCAUAAACAACCAUUCUGAAGAGUUACACCUCUUCAAAUUUCAGCCCAACUUUGGCUGUAAAUACAAAACUAUUCUGCACAGAAUUUUCAUACGAAUUUUUUGAGUUCUUCUCCUUUCUUCUGCAUAUUUUAACUUUAAAGAAAGCAAAUGUAGGUGUGAUUUGCUACAAAAAUUUGUGUUCGCUGAAACACUGGGGUUUGAAGUAGAACCGCACUAGUGUGUAAUUCGUUCUAUUGCGGGAGGAAAUAAUACAUAACCAUGGGUGCUAGGAGGGAAUUAAAUUCUUUAUGAAAACACUAUGAAUCCAGUAAGCGCGAAUGGUUCUUUGUUAUUUCAUUUACAUUUCUGUUUAUGUUAUUUUAUUUUUAUCAGAAUUAUUUUACAAAUACAGGGUACUAACAAGCUUAAGGAUUUUAAUAUAUUUUCUGUAUUUGUAAGCACUAUUUCGGGAGAGUAACUCCUUUUGUGGUUUUGUACUCUUUGGGAGAUUAAAAUCUACGUGAUUUUAACGUUUGUGCCAUUUUUUUACAAAAAUGACUAAUGAUAAUGUGAACCAAGUUGUUCCAAUGGUGACUGCCAAUACCUCAACGAGCCGAACAACACCGACAACAUUAGCACUAGCGGAGAAAUGCGAAAAAAGUUUUGGGAUUGAUUUCAAGCUGGCAGCAAAAGAUGUUCAUUUAUUUGACUACUCUAAGUCACCGAAAGUUCAUCAAAGAAGAUGUUCUUGUGCUUUCCGGUGAAACUCUAGAAGCUGAACGCUUUCUCGUGAUUGAGGUGUGGAAGCACACAGAUAUUUUGUGCAAGAAUUAUAUUCUAAGCGGGCUGGAGGAUGCUUUGAAUAAUAUAUACAGUAGCGCGGAAACGUCAAAAGAAGUAUGGACUGAGCUUGAAAAGAAAUACAAAAUCGAAGAUGUCGGGUUAAAGAAGUUGGUUGCUACAACAUUUUUGGACUACAAAAUUGUAGAUAGCAAGUAUGUUUACCCAAGUCCAUGAAUUACAACAAUAACAACAACCCAGUAUAAUCCUGCAAGUGGGGUUUGUGGAGGGUAAUAUGUAUGCAGACCUUACCCUACCCCGAAGGGCAGAGAGGCUGUUUUUAGGAGACCCUCAGAUCAAGAAACAACGAGAGACGAUAUAUUAGUACUACCAAUAGCUCAUAAUAAAAUAAUAUAUAAUAACAUAAAAUACAUAACAUAACGUAAAAUAACAAAUAACAACAAUAUAAAAAUAAAGGAAAUACAAAAAAGAUGGAAGUUAUACUAAUAUCCAAAAGAUAAAACCCUACAUUAGUAGAUGAACAGUAGCAUCCUAAGACUAACUCCUAUCGGGCUAGUCUUACUCUAGUUUGCUGUUGAAAUAUCCACAACUUUCCCCUAACCUACAACCUUACAGCUCGACCUCCACAGUUCCCUGUCAAGGGCCAUGUCCUCAGUAAUCCUAACUCGCGCCAUGUACUGCCUGAUCACCUCUCCCCAAUACUUCUUAGGUCUCCCUCUACCUCUCCUCAUGCCCACCAUAGUCAGUCGCUCACACCUUCUCACCGGUGCAUCCAUGCUCUUCCUCUAAAUGUGCCCAAACCAUCUGAGUCUUGCUUCCCGCAUCAUGUCCUCUAUGGUGGCCACGCCCACAUUCUCUAGAAUAUCUUCAUUCCCAAUCUUAUACAUCCUUGUAUGCCCGCACAUCCAUCUCAACAUCAUCAUCUCUACUAUUUUCAUCUUCUGGAUGUGUGAGUUCUUAACUGGCCAAUAUUCGAUCACAUACAACAUGGCAGGUCUAACCAAUGCUCUAUUAAACUUACCUUUUAGUAACAGUGUCACUUUCUUGUCAUAUAGGACUCCCGUACCUAACAUCAACUUCAUAUACCCCACCCUUAUAUGGUGUGUGACAUCCUCGUCGAUCUCCACUAUCCUCUUAAUAACUGAUCCAAGGUACCGAAAACUACCUUUCUUAGGGAUGAUUUGAGAGUUAAGCCUCACUUCCACUCCCGCUUAUGUCGGCUCGGCCCUAAAUUUGUACUCGAGGUAUUCCGUCUUCAUCCCGCUCUAUCCGAAACCUUUGGACUCAAAGGAAUGUCUCCAAACCUCUAGCCUCUCGUUGAUGCCACAUCGCAUCUAGUUAAUUAGGACUAUGUCAUCAGUAAAUAGCAUGCACCAUAGAACCUCCCAUUGAAUAUGAUGCGUUAUGGUGGCAUUUAUCACCAGGGCAAAUAGGAAAGGGCUGAAUGCAGACCCUUGCUGCAAUGCCGUAACAACUGGGAAAUGGUCGGAGUCGCCUCCUACUGUCCUAACCCGAGUCUUAGCUCCAUCAUAGAUGUCUUUAAUUACCCUAAUGUAGGCAAUUAGGACCCCUUUAGACUCUAAGAAACUCCAUAAUACAUCUCUAGGAACCCUGUCGUACACUUUCUCUAAAUCGAUAAACACCAUGUGGACCCAAGUCCAGGAAUUGCAAGUGAUUAUUCACGAUCUCCUUGCUGAAGGUAUAAAUCAAAUUAAUACUGAUGUUGAAACUAGCAUUCCAAGUAGUAACAUUGAUUGAGAAGUUGCCUCCUUUGUGGAAGGACUUCAAAAAUUACUUGAAAUACAAAUGCAAGGAGAUGUCCCUUGAAGAUCUCAUUGUUCGGUUAAGAAUCGAAGAGGACAACAAAGCUACUGAAAAGAGAGGCCGUGGAAACUCAACUAUAAUGGGAGCAAAUAUUGUUGAAGAGAACGAAAAGAGGAAGAAGGCUUCUGGACCGAAAUACAACUCAAGCAAGAAGCAAUUCAGUGGAAAUUGCUACAACUAUGAAAAGCUAGAAAAAAAUCUAUGGAGUGUCGUGCUCCGAAGAAAGACAAGAAGAAGGGUCAAGCAAACAUGGUUGAAAAACUUGAUGAUAUUGAUGACUUAUUUGUCAUGCUUUCCGAAUGAAACUUAGUAGGCAAUCCUAAAGAGUGGUGAAUUGAUUUUGGUGCCACUUGCCAUGUUUUGCUGUUAGAUAAGCUUUGGCUAAUUAUGCUCCUGUUGGACCCGAUGAGUCGCUUUCUAUGGGAAAUGCUGCAAAGGCUUAUAUUGAAGGAUGUGGGAAGAUAAUUCCAAAAUGACUUCCGGCAAAGUGGUGACUUUGAACAAUGUCCUUCAUGUUCCAGAGAUUAGGAAGAAAUUAGCCUCUGUUGGACUUCUUAUUAAGAAUGGUUUUAAAUGUAUUUUUGUUUCCGAUAAGGUUGUAAUAAUUAAGAAUGAAAUAUUUGUAAGAAAAUAUUAUCUCACUGAGGGCCUUUUCAAGCUAAAAGUAAUGGUUGUUGAAAUAAUAAUAAAAUUUCAGCUUCGUCUUACUUACUUCAGGCAAAUGAAUUAUAACAUAUACGUUUGGAUCAUGUUAAUUUUAAAACCUUGCAAAAACUUAUUAAUUUUUGAAGUAUUGUUUAAAUUUGAAUGUGACAAAUCAAAAUAUCAAAUAUGUGUGAAAUCUAUGUAUGUUUAACAUCUUUGUAAAUCAGUUGAAAAGAAUUCGGAUCCUUUAGACUUAAUUCACACAUAUAUUAUGAAGUCAAUAUCAUAUCGCGGUGGGAAAAAGAUUCUUAUAUCUUUUGUUGAAGAUAGUGCUCGAUGUUGUUAUGUUUACGUACUUAAUAGUAAAGAUGAAGCAAUAGAUGCAUUCAAGAAAUAGAAAAAUGAAGUUGAAGCGCAACUUAACAAGAAAAUCAAAAUGAUAAAAAGUGAUAGGGGUGGUGAGUAUAAAUCUCCUUUUGAACAAAUAUGUCUAGAAUAUUAAAUUAUUCAUUAAAUAACGGCCCCUUACAUGCCCCAAUCAAAUGGGAUUGUAGAAAGAAAUAAUUGUUCAUUAAAGAAGAUGAUGAACACAUUAUUGAUAAGUUCUGGUUUGCCACAGAACUUGUGGGGCGAAGCCAUUCUUAUGGCUAGCCGAAUAUUAAAUCUAAUACCCCAUAGCAAAACACAAUCCAUUCCAUAUAAAAAAUUGGAAAGGAAGGAAUCCCAAAUUAAAUUAUUUUAAAGUGUGAGAGUGUUUGACAAAUGUGCAAGUUCCUAAGACAGAAAGGUUAAAAAUAGGACCGAAAAUCAUUGAUUGUGUUUUCAUAGGAUAUGCGACUAAUAGUAAAGCAUAUCAAUUUCUGAUUCAUAAAUAAUAAAAUCCCAAUAUUCAUAACAAUACGGUUAUAUAAUCAGAUAAUGAUGUGUUCUUUAACAAUAUAUAUCCAUAUAAAAGGAAUGUAGUCGAUUGGUGAAGGAUCUAAAUGACCUCGGGAAGAAACAAAAGAAAGUACACUUAAUCAGGAGGAUCCAAGCGUAGUAAACGUCAAAGAACGUCUACUUCAUUUGGACUAGAUUUUGUGACCUUUUUAUUGGAAAGUGAGCCUCAAACAUUUAAAGAAGCUAUGUCUUCUUUGAAAUUAUUUUUUUGGAAAGAGGCAAUCAAUAGUGAAAUAGAAUCCAUACUGAACAACCAUACAUGAGAAUUGGUUGAUCUUCCUCCUAGAAAUAAACUGUUCGAUUCUAAAUGGAUCUUUAAGAGAAAAAUGAAAGAUGAUAGCAUUAUUGAAAAAUUUAAGGCAAGACUUAUGGUCAAAGGAUAUAGACAACGAGAAGGUCUUCACUAUUUCAAUACAUACUCUCCAGUUACAAGAAUUACGUCCAUACAAAUGUUAGUAGCGUUAGUUGCAGUUUAUGGUCUUGAAAUUCAUCAAAUGGAUAUUAAGAUAGCCUUCUUAAAUGGAGAGUUGGAGGAAGAAAUUUACAUAGAACAACCUGAAUGGUUUGUGGUUCUGGGUAAAGAAAAUAAGGUAUGUAGACUUGUUAAGUCCCUUUACGGACUAAAACAAGCACCCAAACAACGGCAUGCGAAAUUUGACUAAAAAGUAUUGUCAAAUGGUUUUUAAAUAAAUGAACAUGAUAAAUGUGUGUACAUUAAAAAUGUUCCAAAUCACAUAGUCAUUGUUUGCUUAUAUGUGGAUGAUAUGCUGAUAAUGAGUAAUGGCAUUGCCAAUAUAAAUGCAACUAAACGCAUGCUAACACACAAGUUUGAUAUGAAAGACUUGGGAGUUGCUGAUUUAAUUCUGCGAAUUAAGAUCCACAAGACUUCUCAAGGUCUGACAUUUUCACAAUCUUAGUAUAUUAAGACAAUACUUGAAAAAUUUAAGAACUUGGGCUUUAAUGUUGCAAAGAUUCCAAUUGACAUGAAUCUUGCAUUAGCAAAGAACAAAGGCCAAAAUGUAUCGCAAUUGGAUUAUGCUCGUGUGUUGGGUUGCUUAAUGUACAUCAUGAAAUUUACAUGACAAGAUAUAGCUUGUGCUAUAAGUAAAUUGAGUCGAUAUACGAUCAAUCCAGGUCAAUCGCAUUGGAUGGACAUGAAACGAGUUUUGGGGUAUUUAGCACAUACCCAGGGCUUUGCUUUGCACCAUAGUAACUAUCCUGCGGUCAUUGAGGGAUAUUGUGAUGCAAAUUAAAUCACUGGAUCAACUGAUUCCAAGUUCCUAAGUGGAUAUGCAUUCACUAUUUGUGGAGGAGUGAUAUCUUGGAAGUCGUCCAAACAGAAUUGUAUUGGCUGCUCAACAAUGGAGGCUGAAUUCAUAGCCUUAUAUAAAGCCGGUGAAGAAGCUGAAUGGAUUUAAAAUUUCUUGCAAGAUAUUCUAUUUAGGCCCAAAACCGUUGGCACCAAUAUGCAUACAUUGCGAUAGUCAAGCGGCGAUUGGAAGGGCUCAGAGCAUUAUGUAUAAGAGUAUAUCGUCAUAUACGAUGAGACAUAAAACCGUUAGACAAUUACUCUCUAGAGGAAUUAUCAUGAUUGAUUAUGUAAAGUCAAGUGAUAAUGUAUCAGAUCCACUUACAAAAGGCCUAACUAGAGAUAUAGUUGAGAAGUCAUCAAGGGGAAUGGAACAGUGGCCGAGAACAAGUUAUAGUGGUGGUAACUCUACCUAGAAGACUGGAGAUCUCAAGAUCUAGGUUCAAGGAGAUCAAACAAAGUCAUUAAUGACGGUUCAACAUUGUCAACUAAACUGUUGGUACAUUCUCGUGAUGAGACAAUGUUCAAGUACCAAGAAUAAAGUAUUAAGGCUUUUUAACGAUUUUAAAUUAAAUACGGGGUAUAUCAAAUAGUGUAUCUAAGGGAUGACACGCUUAGGAAUUACCUAUGGUUAUCCGCUUUAAGGAGAAUUUUGCCAGGCUAGUUCUCUAUGCACUUAUGAAACCACGUGGUGUUGAUGGCUCAAAUGAAUACAAUAAUGAGAACGAAAGGUGGUUAAGGGUUAGUUGUAUGACUUAUGGUUGUCUAGGUAUACACCAAAGUUUGACGGUUCAAAGAUAUCAAAUCUACCGAUUGACCGAGUCUAUCUGACAUAAGUUCACUACGGAAAGUUAAAAAAGAAACCUACAUAUCCAGAUACAAUUAAUCAUUUCUUGUGAAUCACACAGUUUUCAUGCAUAUUUCUGUGAUAUAGCCAUUUCCCAUUUAUGUGGGGGAUUUUUGGGAUUUUUAAGCAGUAUUGAGGCUUAAAAGAGGGUGAAUGGGAAAUAAAAAUUUUAGUGAAAUUUUAGGUUUCCCUCCUUAGCAAAGAGACAUUGUCCUAUAUUGGAAGAAGAAGAGAUUUUUUAUGGGUAUCUAAGCAAUUGCUCUUCUUCUAGCUCUUAAAGAGUUGAGAAAAAGGCGAGCAUCGCGUCGUCAUCGUUGUCGCUCACUCAUCUCGGCUUCGGCUUCGGAUUCAGAUUCUGUCAAAUGAUCGAUUAAUUGAAUAAUUUUUUGGAUCAAAUAUUUUUCAGUUGUGUAGCUGAAAAUUAAACUACCCUCUUCAAUUCUGCCUCUUUAUUGUUGAGUAAAUAGCCAUUUAUGUUAUGACAUUUAUGUUGUGGCCGUUUUGCAUAAAGAACCAUUCUGAAGAGUUGCACCUCCUCAGAUUUCAGCCUAACUUUAGCUAUAAAUACAAUACUAUUCUGCUCAGAAUUUUCAUAUGAAUUUUCUGAGUUCUUCUCCUUCUACAUAUUUUAACUUCAAAGAAAGCAACAGUAAGUGUGAUUUGCUACCGAACUUUGUGUUCGCUGAAACAUUGGGGUUUUACGUACCAUUACACAAGUGUGUAAUUCGUUCUAUCCUGGGAGAAAAUACUUCAUAACCUUGGGUACUAGGAGGGGAUGAAAUUCCUUAAGAAAACAGUGUGAAUUCAGUGGGCUCGAAUUAGGUUUUUGUUAUUUCAUUUACAUUUUUUGUUUAUGUUAUUUUAUUUUCUCCAGAAUUAUUUUACAAUUAUAAAUUACUAAAAUAUAAUCUCACUAAGGUUACUUCUUUUUCAAGUCUCUCUAAAAUUACUUGUGUGUGUGUUUCGUAUUUUGGCAAAAAAUCAUCACAAGUUAUGUUUCCAUAAUGCAAAUUUUCGCAUUAAAAUAAAUAUCGGCGAAGGCUAUUUGGAACAAAACAUAUAUUUCAUAUUGGGUUUAGAGAGCAAUUAAAUAAAAUAGAAAAAAAGGAGAGAACAAACAGUACCUUGGGGCGCAUUUGGUAUGCUAGAAAAUCAUCUUUCAGAAAACGCAGAACAGCCUAUAUGAUAUUUAUACUUAUACCACUUGGUCAUCCGGAUGCCCAAACUUAAUGAAGUUUCAUCUAGAC
rnacentral:lncRNA from 1 species